AAAAGUCGGGCUUGUGGAAGGAGUAGGUGGGAGGGGGUGGGAACAGCAGAGAGGGGCGAGGCAGGGCCAGCCCUGGGAAGCUGGAGGAAGAGGCAGUUUUCCAUUCUCCACUCGGGCCCCGCUGGCCGCUUGACAAGUCUAUGAAUAACGCGUUAGUGAUCUGAAGCUUUGACUGCUCUGGGAUGUGGAAAGAGUCACAAAGAGAUGGGGCAGAAGAUUGUGUGUGGCCCAGGCAAGGAUGGCAGCAAACAGAUCCUCCUAGAAGCCACAUCACCUAUCCUUUUCUGGAAAGAGGAUGCUUUGAUUCGAAAGAGAGCUUAAGUGGACUGCUGUGCCCUGUGGAUUUGGAGCAUCGCGAGAAGCCACAGAGGAGUUAUCAACAUCCUUUCUGAGAAAGAUGGGGGAGUCAACAGCCUGAACCCUGAGGGUUUGUGAGGAGGGCAGGACAUCUGCCUCUGCUCUGCCAAGAACAAGGUGCAUGCCUCCAGUGAAAGUGUCCGUGUCGAGCUGAUCCACUCUCCUCCUCUGAGGGCCUAAGACAGAGGGACUUCCUGUGGCCACACCCAGCUGCUGCACACACCUGCUCUGCUGCUUCUUAGAUCAGCCUGGGCCAAGGCACCACCUGACCUGGGGUGAGGUCAUCGACCUGGGCGCCAGGAGACCUGGCUGGAGGGUAAUUGUCUCCCCCGGACCCUGCUUGACUCAUGAAGUCAGGUCUCCAAUGGCACAGCCUUCAUGAAGCCGGGAGGUAUUCCAGGGGAUUAAGUAUAUUCCAGGCUGCACGGUGUUAAGAACAGUCCUGGCAUGAAGUGUGCUCUGAGUAUGUGUUUGUUAAAUAAAGCCUAGGAGGAAAUAGCUCCAAAUCUCCCUUGCUUGGUGCUGGGAGAGAGGGUCCUUAGAACUCAUCUGGUACAGAGGUUUCAAACUGCUUUUAGCUGGAGAAUUCUUUCAUUGUUGUUAUUAUUGUUGUUGUCUUCCAAAGGAAUCUCAUUUGGAGUUUUGAAUGUGAAACAGAUAAAAAUGAAAGGCUGAUAUAAAGGAGGCGGGGUGGGAUUUAAUGCUCUCUUGCUGCAGGGAUUUCUGGGACUCUGGAGGCCAGGUUAUGAACCCCUGAUCUCAUUUUGUGCCUUCAUAAUGUAAGAGAGGGGAUAGCAUUCCAGGCAGUAGGAUAGAGUGUGCAUAAGUCCAUGCAGUGAGCUGGGCAGAGUGAACCCCAAGGAGCCUGACUCCCAGCCUUGGAUUAAAAGGCUGACGAUGCAGGACCUUCUGAUGUCUAUGGGCACAGUCAUACCCAGUUUCUCUGGAUCUUUGUAAAGCAGCCAGGGGUGUUUACUGUUGGGGCCUUAGACAGGAAGCCAAGGCCAGGCCAUUUGACAGCUUGAGAGCUCUCUGCAUGCCUCAGCUAGUUUGUGACAUUAACUGUAUCUGGUGGGAUCUGGUACCUGCCACAGACUCCCCAUGCACAGACCACUUUGGAGGUACAUAUCCUAUGGGAUUGGUUCAGCACUCUGCCUUUGUGUUCCCUGCUGAACCUCAAUGUCACCAGUGUCACAUACUCAGGAAACACUGCAGAAAGAAGGAUGACAACCCUGAAUUAUGUGCUCCCCACUUCCUGCUCACAAAGGAGUUAUCACACAUUCAUACAGAGACCCCUGGCUUUAUUGAGCACUUAGUACACAUUGCAAACUUCUUAAGCGGAUUCAUCAUUUAUUCUUUACAGAAGCUCCAAUGUAAUAUUAAAACAAAAACAAAAAUAAAAAACAACCCACAGCAAAGAGACAUUAAAUACCUUCCCAAGAUGGGAAGGUUGGAGAGGUGAGAUGGGCAUUUGGCACAUGUCCUCUUAGUCACCACUCAUGGGGACCUACAUCUGUUUUGUCAAGGAGAGACACAGUGGCGAUGUACAGAUGGGUACCACAGAAGCAGAGGGAGUGAUGGGCUACACAGCUCAAAGGUAGUGCUGAGGUAUUCAGAUGUCUGGCUUACUACAAACAGGACUUUAGGAGUAUGUCUUCUGUGAGCAUUCCUGGUACUUCCAACAAGCAGAGGAAGCUCUAUCCCCAUCUUCUCCUUCCCUCCC